rnacentral:rRNA from 1 species
AGAGUUUGAUCCUGGCUCAGGACGAACGCUGGCGGCGUGCCUAAUACAUGCAAGUCGAGCGAGCUUGCCUAGAUGAUUUUGGUGCUUGCACUAAAUGAAACUAGAUACAAGCGAGCGGCGGACGGGUGAGUAACACGUGGGUAACCUGCCCAAGAGACUGGGAUAACACCUGGAAACAGAUGCUAAUACCGGAUAACAACACUAGACGCAUGUCUAGAGUUUGAAAGAUGGUUCUGCUAUCACUCUUGGAUGGACCUGCGGUGCAUUAGCUAGUUGGUAAGGUAACGGCUUACCAAGGCAAUGAUGCAUAGCCGAGUUGAGAGACUGAUCGGCCACAUUGGGACUGAGACACGGCCCAAACUCCUACGGGAGGCAGCAGUAGGGAAUCUUCCACAAUGGACGAAAGUCUGAUGGAGCAACGCCGCGUGAGUGAAGAAGGGUUUCGGCUCGUAAAGCUCUGUUGGUAGUGAAGAAAGAUAGAGGUAGUAACUGGCCUUUAUUUGACGGUAAUUACUUAGAAAGUCACGGCUAACUACGUGCCAGCAGCCGCGGUAAUACGUAGGUGGCAAGCGUUGUCCGGAUUUAUUGGGCGUAAAGCGAGUGCAGGCGGUUCAAUAAGUCUGAUGUGAAAGCCUUCGGCUCAACCGGAGAAUUGCAUCAGAAACUGUUGAACUUGAGUGCAGAAGAGGAGAGUGGAACUCCAUGUGUAGCGGUGGAAUGCGUAGAUAUAUGGAAGAACACCAGUGGCGAAGGCGGCUCUCUGGUCUGCAACUGACGCUGAGGCUCGAAAGCAUGGGUAGCGAACAGGAUUAGCAUACCCUGGUAGUCCAUGCCGUAAACGAUGAGUGCUAAGUGUUGGGAGGUUUCCGCCUCUCAGUGCUGCAGCUAACGCAUUAAGCACUCCGUCCUGGGGA